UCCUAAUACAGGGAGGUAGUGACAAGAAAUAACAAUACAGGGCCUUUCGGCUUUGUAAUUGGAAUGAGUUGAGUAUAAACCCCUUUACAAGUAUCAAUUGGAGGGCAAGUCUGGUGCCAGCAGCCGCGGUAAUUCCAGCUCCAAUAGCGUAUAUUAAAGUUGUUGCAGUUAAAAAGCUCGUAGUUGGAUUUCUGCUAAUACUCUAUGUAAAUGCUUUUGCCUUUACAU
rnacentral:rRNA from 1 species